UAUGUCGUCAGGAUGAACGCUAGCGACAGGCUUAACACAUGCAAGUCGAGGGGCAGCAUAAAAGUAGCAAUACUUGGUGGCGACCGGCGCACGGGUGAGUAACGCGUAUGCAACCUACCUAUCAGAGGGGAAUAACCCGGCGAAAGUCGGACUAAUACCGCAUAAAACAGGGACACCGCAUGGUGAUAUUUGUUAAAGAAAUUCGCUGAUAGAUGGGCAUGCGUUCCAUUAGGUAGUUGGUGAGGUAACGGCUCACCAAGCCGACGAUGGAUAGGGGAACUGAGAGGUUGGUCCCCCACACUGGUACUGAGACACGGACCAGACUCCUACGGGAGGCAGCAGUGAGGAAUAUUGGUCAAUGGGCGAGAGCCUGAACCAGCCAAGUCGCGUGAAGGAAGAAGGAUCUAUGGUUCGUAAACUUCUUUUGCAGGGGAAUAAAGUGCAGGACGUGUCCUGUUUUGUAUGUACCCUGAGAAUAAGGAUCGGCUAACUCCGUGCCAGCCGCCGC
rnacentral:rRNA from 1 species